ACGAACGCUGGCGGCGUGCCUCAUACAUGCAAGUUGAGCGCUGAAGGUUGGUACUUGUCCCGACUGGAUGAGCAGCGAACGGGUGAGUAACGCGUGGGGAAUCUGCCUUUGAGCGGGGGACAACAUUUGGAAACGAAUGCUAAUACCGCAUAAAAACUUUAAACACAAGUUUUAAGUUUGAAAGAUGCAAUUGCAUCACUCAAAGAUGAUCCCGCGUUGUAUUAGCUAGUUGGUGAGGUAAAGGCUCACCAAGGCGAUGAUACAUAGCCGACCUGAGAGGGUGAUCGGCCACAUUGGGACUGAGACACGGCCCAAACUCCUACGGGAGGCAGCAGUAGGGAAUCUUCGGCAAUGGACGAAAGUCUGACCGAGCAACGCCGCGUGAGUGAAGAAGGUUUUCGGAUCGUAAAACUCUGUUGGUAGAGAAGAACGAUGGUGAGAGUGGAAAGCUCAUCAAGUGACGGUAACUACCCAGAAAGGGACGGCUAACUACGUG
rnacentral:rRNA from 1 species